rnacentral:lncRNA from 1 species
GAAGGGGGAAACCCCUUCUCAAACCCUAAAUCAGAAAAUUGGAAUAGAAAUCAAGGCUAAAUCUUAUGCAUGGACCUGGAUAUAUGAUCAUCUAGCCUUGCUAAACAUGUGGGAAUCAUGUCAAGAUGGGUGGAAGCAUGAGAGGCUAACGGAUUAAGAGGACAUGAGGAAGCAAAUGCAAAUACGGAAUGCAUAAGGAAUUGUACGGCUCUCUCUCUCUCUCUCUCUCUGUGACUAAUAUAACCAAGUGAGCGUAGAUCGAGUCAAGUGCAAGGAUUGUACGAAAAGAACGGUUACGUAGUCUUAAUUUUGUAA